AGACACUUUAAUAAUGGAGCAGAGCACUCGCUGGUCGGAAGGUGCAGGUCGCAGAGGUGGAACCCCUGAGCAGACAGGCACUCCAUGAAUGCUCCUUUGCAGAAUUGGAUGGAACGACACUCUAUGCCGAGCAUCACUCCGGGGUGAUACAAGGAGAGGGGACUAUCAGGUGGGCCCAGUGGAUGCACAUUACUGGAAGACAGAUUUGUGAAGAGUUGAAGGGGGUGCGGAGUGGACAUCAUUACAAUAAUAUGUUUCAUACAAGGAAGAGCAGU